GACGAACGCUGGCGGCGCGCUUAACACAUGCAAGUCGAGCGAAGCGGCGGACGGGUGAGUAACACGUGAGUAACCUGCCAUAGACAUUGGGAUAGCCUCGGGAACCCGGGAUUAAUAACAAAUGGUCUAAGAGGGACUAGCGUCCCAUUAGCUAGUUGGCGAGGUAACGGCCCACCAAGGCGACGAUGGGGAGCCGGCCUGAGAGGGUGAACGGCCACAUUGGAACUGAGCAACGGUCCAACCUCUACGGGAGGCAGCAGUGGGGAAUAUUGCACAAUGGAGGGAACUCUGAUGCAGCGACGCCGCGUGAACGAAGAAGGCUUUCGAGUCGUAAAGUUCUUUUAUAUGGGAAGCGGUACCAUAAGACAAAGCCCCGGCUAACUACGUGCCAGCAGCCGCGGUAAUUC
rnacentral:rRNA from 1 species